GAUGAACGCUAGCGAUAGGCUUAACACAUGCAAGUCGAGGGGCAGCACAAGGUAGCUUGCUAUCUGGGUGGCGACCGGCGCACGGGUGCGUAACGCGUAUGCAACUUGCCCUAUACAGGAGGAUAACCCGUCGAAAGACGGACUAAUACUGCGUAUGCUCACAACUUGGCAUCAAGUGGUGAGGAAAGAAAUUCGGUAUAGGAUAGGCAUGCUUCCCAUUAGCUUGUUGGUGAGGUAACGGCUCACCAAGGCAACGAUGGGUAGGGGAACGGAGGGGUUUAGCCCCGAGAGGGGUACUGGGCCACGGACCAGACUCCUACGGCACGGAGCAGUGAGGAAGACUGGUGAAUGGGCGCGAGCCUGAACCAGCCAAGUCGCGUGAAGGAUGACUGUCUUAUGGAUUGUAAACUUCUGUUAUACGGGAAUAACAAGAGUCACGUGUGACUCCCUGCAUGUACCGUAUGAAUAAGCAUCGGCUAACUCCGUG
rnacentral:rRNA from 1 species